rnacentral:rRNA from 1 species
UGCAGUCGAAGCAGUAGCAAUACUGAGUGGCAAACGGGUGAGUAUAAUGUGGGAAUCUGCCUUUUGGUUUGGAAUAACACGGGGAAACUUGUGCUAAUACCGAAUAAGCCCUUACGGGGAAAGUUUUAAUGCCGAAAGAUGAGCCCGCACUUGAUUAGCUAGUUGGUAAGGUAAAGGCUUACCAAGGCUACGAUCAAUAGCUGUUCUUAGAGGAAGACCAGCCACAUUGGGACUGAGACACGGCCCAGACUCCUACGGGAGGCAGCAGUGGGGAAUCUUGCACAAUGGGGGAAACCCUGAUGCAGCGAUGCCGCGUGAGUGAAGAAGGCCCUUGGGUUGUAAAACCCUUUCGUCGGGGAAGAAAAUGACUGUACCCGAAUAAGAAGGUCCGGCUACUUCGUGCCAGCAGCCGCGGUAAUACGAAGGGACCUAGCGUAGUUCGGAAUUACUGGGCUUAAAGAGCUCGUAGGUGGUUAAAAAAGUUGAUGGUGAAAUCCCAAGGCUUAACCUUGGGACUGCCAUCAAAACUUUUUAGCUAGAGUGUGAUAGAGGUAAGUGGAAUUUCUAGUGUAGAGGUGAAAUUCGUAGAUAUUAGAAAGAACACCAAAUGCGAAGGCAACUUACUGGGUCACUACUGACACUGAGGAGCGAAAGCAUGGGUAGCGAAGAGGAUUAGAUACCCUCGUAGUCCAUGCCGUAAACGAUGUGUGCUAGACGUUGGAAAUAUAUUUUUCA